GUGGGGAAUUUUGGACAAUGGGCGCAAGCCUGAUCCAGCAAUGCCGCGUGUGUGAAGAAGGCCUUCGGGUUGUAAAGCACUUUUGGCAGGAAAGAAAUAGUGCGUGCUAAUACCAUGCGCGAAUGACGGUACCUGCAGAAUAAGCACCGGCUAACUACGUGCCAGCAGCCGCGGUAAGACGUAGGGUGCAAGCGUUAAUCGGAAUUACUGGGCGUAAAGCGUGCGCAGGCGGUUUUGUAAGACAGGUGUGAAAUCCCCGGGCUCAACCUGGGAACUGCACUUGUGACUGCAAGGCUAGAGUGUGUCAGAGGGAGGUGGAAUUCCGCGUGUAGCAGUGAAAUGCGUAGAGAUGCGGAGGAACACCGAUGGCGAAGGCAGCCUCCUGGGAUAACACUGACGCUCAGGCACGAAAGCGUGGGGAGCAAACAGGAUUAGAUACCCCUGUAGUUCC
rnacentral:rRNA from 1 species